rnacentral:rRNA from 1 species
AUACAGAGGGUGCAAGCGUUAAUCGGAAUUACUGGGCGUAAAGCGUGCGCAGGCGGUUUUGUAAGACAGUGGUGAAAUCCCCGGGCUCAACCUGGGAACUGCCAUUGUGACUGCAAGGCUGGAGUGCGGCAGAGGGGGAUGGAAUUCCGCGUGUAGCAGUGAAAUGCGUAGAUAUGCGGAGGAACACCGAUGGCGAAGGCAAUCCCCUGGGCCUGCACUGACGCUCAUGCACGAAAGCGUGGGGAGCAAACAGGAUUAGAUACCCUGGUAGUCCACGCCCUAAACGAUGUCAACUGGUUGUUGGGGAUUUAUUUUCUCAGUAACGAAGCUAACGCGUGAAGUUGACCGCCUGGGUAGUACGGCCGCAAGGUUAAAACUCAAAGGAAUUGGCGGGG